rnacentral:rRNA from 1 species
GACGAACGCUGGCGGCGUGCUUAACUCAUGCAAGUCGAACGGAAAGGCCCUGCUUUUGUGGGGUGCUCGAGUGGCGAACGGGUGAGUAACACGUGAGUAACCUGCCCUUGACUUUGGGAUAACUUCAGGAAACUGGGGCUAAUACCGGAUAGGAGCUCCUGCUGCAUGGUGGGGGUUGGAAAGUUUCGGCGGUUGGGGAUGGACUCGCGGCUUAUCAGCUUGUUGGUGGGGUAGUGGCUUACCAAGGCUUUGACGGGUAGCCGGCCUGAGAGGGUGACCGGCCACAUUGGGACUGAGAUACGGCCCAGACUCCUACGGGAGGCAGCAGUGGGGAAUAUUGCACAAUGGGCGGAAGCCUGAUGCAGCAACGCCGCGUGCGGGAUGAAGGCCUUCGGGUUGUAAACCGCUUUCGCCUGUGACGAAGCGUGAGUGACGGUAAUGGGUAAAGAAGCACCGGCUAACUACGUG